rnacentral:rRNA from 2 species
AGGAGGGCGUGCCGUCUCGCAAC